rnacentral:rRNA from 1 species
AUGAACGCUGACAGAAUGCUUAACACAUGCAAGUCAACUUGAAUUUGGGUUUUUAACUUAGGUUUGGGUGGCGGACGGGUGAGUAACGCGUAAAGAACUUGCCUCACAGCUAGGGACAACAUUUGGAAACGAAUGCUAAUACCUAAUAUUAUGAUAAUAGGGCAUCCUAUAAUUAUGAAAGCUAUAAGCGCUGUGAGAGAGCUUUGCGUCCCAUUAGCUAGUUGGAGAGGUAACGGCUCGCCAAGGCGAUGAUGGGUAGCCGGCCUGAGAGGGUGAUCGGCCACAAGGGGACUGAGACACGGCCCUUACUCCUACGGGAGGCAGCAGUGGGGAAUAUUGGACAAUGGACCAAGAGUCUGAUCCAGCAAUUCUGUGUGCACGAUGAAGUUUUUCGGAAUGUAAAGUGCUUUCAGUUGGGAAGAAAGAAAUGACGGUACCAACAGAAGAAGUGACGGCUAAAUACGUG